rnacentral:lncRNA from 1 species
CAAAUCUAUUUUAGUUUUUUGAGAGAUUAAACCAAUGUUAUUUAAACUUUAUUUCUUAAUGAAACCAUCAAAGGAACAGUUUUAAAAAAAAACUGUGAUUUUUUUUCAAUAGCAAAGACUUGGAACCAACCCAAAUGUCCAUCAAUGAUAGACUGGAUUAAGAAAAUAUGGCACAUAUAAACCAUGGAAUACUAUGCAGCUGUAAAAAAGGUAAUAAAUGAAGAACAGGAAAAGAUAGGAAAGAUAAAAAGUCGGAUCACAGAUGGAAAAUGGACAAUAAAGUAUCAAAAAGUUCAUUACAGAAAGAAGAGAGUUAAGUAGGAAUAAAUUGGAAAAGAAAAUAGAAGAGACAUUAAGAAAUAAUGCCUUUAUUUUUGGCAAUACAGCAUAUUACAUUUGCUGAGAAGCUUUUUUUUGUGAAAACAAUA